CAACACCACUAGGGGAGCCGGAUAUCGGCUGAGACGGGCAUAAGCCCGGACCCUUUGAACCUGAUCUGGAUCAUACCAGCGGAGGGAAGUGGCGAACGCAUGCC
rfam:Planomicrobium glaciei strain CGMCC 1.6846 genome assembly, contig: Ga0070170_101